CUUUUUAGAUAAUGACAUAAUAACUCUAAAAGCAAAGAUUUAGAAGAUUUAAAUCGUUAAUUAAAUAU
rnacentral:sRNA from 1 species